rnacentral:rRNA from 1 species
GAUGAACGCUGGCGGCGUGCCUAAUACAUGCAAGUCGAGCGAACAGACGAGGAGCUUGCUCCUCUGACGUUAGCGGCGGACGGGUGAGUAACACGUGGAUAACCUACCUAUAAGACUGGGAUAACUUCGGGAAACCGGAGCUAAUACCGGACAAUAUAUUGAACCGCAUGGUUCAAUAGUGAAAGACGGUUUUGCUGUCACUUAUAGACGGAUCCGCGUCGCAUUAGCUAGUUGGUAAGGUAACGGCUUACCAAGGCGACGAUGCGUAGCCGACCUGAGAGGGUGAUCGGGCACACUGGAACUGAGACACGGUCCAGACUCCUACGGGAAGCAACAGUAGGGAAUCUUCCGCGAUGGACGAGAGCCUGACAUAGCAACGCCGCGUGAAUGAUGAAGGUCUUCGGAUCGUAAAACUCAGUUAUUAGGGAAGAACAAAUGUGUAAGUAACUAUGCACGUCUUGACGGUACCUAAUCAAAAAGCCACGGCUAACUACGUG